UACUUAGUGGCAGACGGGUGAGUAACAUGUGGGUAUCUACCCUUUGGCCUGGAAUAACACGAGGAAACUUGUGCUAAUACCGGAUAAGUCUUUACGGAGAAAGCUUUAUGCACCAUUGGAUGAGCCCGCACUUGAUUAGUUUGUUGGUAGGGUAAUGGCCUACCAAGACUAUGAUCAAUAGCUGAUUUGAGAGGAUGAUCAGCCACAUUGGGACUGAGACACGGCCCAAACUCCUACGGGAGGCAGCAGUGGGGAAUCUUGCACAAUGGAGGAAACUCUGAUGCAGCGAUGCCGCGUGAGUGAAGAAGGCCUUUGGGUUGUAAAGCUCUUUCGUCGGGGAAGAAAAUGACUGUACCCGAAUAAGAAGGUCCGGCUAACUUCGUGCCAGCAGCCGCGGUAAUACGAAGGGACCUAGCGUAGUUCGGAAUUACUGGGCUUAAAGAGUUCGUAGGUGGUUGAAAAAGUUGGUGGUGAAAUCCCAGAGCUUAACUCUGGAACUGCCAUCAAAACUUUUCAGCUAGAGUAUGAUAGAGGAAAGCAGAAUUUCUAGUGUAGAGGUGAAAUUCGUAGAUAUUAGAAAGAAUACCAAUUGCGAAGGCAGCUUUCUGGAUCAUUACUGACACUGAGGAACGAAAGCAUGGGUAGCGAAGAGGAUUAGAUACCCUCGUAGUCCAUGCCGUAAACGAUGUGUGUUAGACGUUGGAAAUUUAUUUUCAGUGUCGCA
rnacentral:rRNA from 1 species